AACGAACGCUGGCGGCAGGCUUAACACAUGCAAGUCGAGCGCCCCGCAAGGGGAGCGGCAGACGGGUGAGUAACGCGUGGGAAUCUACCCAUCUCUACGGAAUAACGCAUGGAAACGUGUGCUAAUACCGUAUACGUCCUUCGGGAGAAAGGUUUAUCGGAGAUGGAUGAGCCCGCGUUGGAUUAGCUAGUUGGUGGGGUAAAGGCCUACCAAGGCGACGAUCCAUAGCUGGUCUGAGAGGAUGAUCAGCCACACUGGGACUGAGACACGGCCCAGACUCCUACGGGAGGCAGCAGUGGGGAAUAUUGGACAAUGGGCGCAAGCCUGAUCCAGCCAUGCCGCGUGAGUGAUGAAGGCCCUAGGGUUGUAAAGCUCUUUCACCGGUGAAGAUAAUGACGGUAACCGGAGAAGAAGCCCCGGCUAACUUCGUGCCAGCCGCCGCCGUAA
rnacentral:rRNA from 1 species